GGGUUGUGAGGUUAAGCGACUAAGCGUACACGGUGGAUGCCCUGGCAGUCAGAGGCGAUGAAGGACGUGCUAAUCUGCGAUAAGCGUCGGUAAGGUGAUAUGAACCGUUAUAACCGGCGAUUUCCGAAUGGGGAAACCCAGUGUGAUUCGUCACACUAUCAUUAACUGAAUCCAUAGGUUAAUGAGGCGAACCGGGGGAACUGAAACAUCUAAGUACCCCGAGGAAAAGAAAUCAACCGAGAUUCCCCCAGUAGCGGCGAGCGAACGGGGAGCAGCCCAGAGCCUGAAUCAGUGUGUGUGUUAGUGGAAGCGUCUGGAAAGGCGCGCGAUACAGGGUGACAGCCCCGUACACAAAAUGCACAUGCUGUGAGCUCGAUGAGUAGGGCGGGACACGUGGUAUCCUGUCUGAAUAUGGGGGACCAUCCUCCAAGGCUAAAUACUCCUGACUGACCGAUAGUGAACCAGUACCGUGAGGGAAAGGCGAAAAGAACCCCGGCGAGGGGAGUGAAAAAGAACCUGAAACCGUGUACGUACAAGCAGUGGGAGCACGCUUAGGCGUGUGACUGCGUACCUUUUGUAUAAUGGGUCAGCGACUUAUAUUCUGUAGCAAGGUUAACCGAAUAGGGGAGCCGAAGGGAAACCGAGUCUUAACUGGGCGUUAAGUUGCAGGGUAUAGACCCGAAACCCGGUGAUCUAGCCAUGGGCAGGUUGAAGGUUGGGUAACACUAACUGGAGGACCGAACCGACUAAUGUUGAAAAAUUAGCGGAUGACUUGUGGCUGGGGGUGAAAGGCCAAUCAAACCGGGAGAUAGCUGGUUCUCCCCGAAAGCUAUUUAGGUAGCGCCUCGUGAAUUCAUCUCCGGGGGUAGAGCACUGUUUCGGCAAGGGGGUCAUCCCGACUUACCAACCCGAUGCAAACUGCGAAUACCGGAGAAUGUUAUCACGGGAGACACACGGCGGGUGCUAACGUCCGUCGUGAAGAGGGAAACAACCCAGACCGCCAGCUAAGGUCCCAAAGUCAUGGUUAAGUGGGAAACGAUGUGGGAAGGCCCAGACAGCCAGGAUGUUGGCUUAGAAGCAGCCAUCAUUUAAAGAAAGCGUAAUAGCUCACUGGUCGAGUCGGCCUGCGCGGAAGAUGUAACGGGGCUAAACCAUGCACCGAAGCUGCGGCAGCGACGCUUAUGCGUUGUUGGGUAGGGGAGCGUUCUGUAAGCCUGUGAAGGUGUGCUGUGAGGCAUGCUGGAGGUAUCAGAAGUGCGAAUGCUGACAUAAGUAACGAUAAAGCGGGUGAAAAGCCCGCUCGCCGGAAGACCAAGGGUUCCUGUCCAACGUUAAUCGGGGCAGGGUGAGUCGACCUAAGGCGAGGCCGAAAGGCGUAGUCGAUGGGAAACAGGUUAAUAUUCCUGUACUUGGUGUUACUGCGAAGGGGACGGAGAAGGCUAUGUUGGCCGGGCGACGGUUGUCCCGGUUUAAGCGUGUAGGCUGGUUUUCCGUGCAAAUCCGGAAAAUCAAGGCUGAGGCGUGAUGACGAGGCACUACGGUGCUGAAGCAACAAAUGCCCUGCUUCCAGGAAAAGCCUCUAAGCAUCAGGUAACAUCAAAUCGUACCCCAAACCGACACAGGUGGUCAGGUAGAGAAUACCAAGGCGCUUGAGAGAACUCGGGUGAAGGAACUAGGCAAAAUGGUGCCGUAACUUCGGGAGAAGGCACGCUGAUAUGUAGGUGAAGCGACUUGCUCGUGGAGCUGAAAUCAGUCGAAGAUACCAGCUGGCUGCAACUGUUUAUUAAAACACAGCACUGUGCAAACACGAAAGUGGACGUAUACGGUGUGACGCCUGCCCGGUGCCGGAAGGUUAAUUGAUGGGGUCAGCGCAAGCGAAGCUCUUGAUCGAAGCCCCGGUAAACGGCGGCCGUAACUAUAACGGUCCUAAGGUAGCGAAAUUCCUUGUCGGGUAAGUUCCGACCUGCACGAAUGGCGUAAUGAUGGCCAGGCUGUCUCCACCCGAGACUCAGUGAAAUUGAACUCGCUGUGAAGAUGCAGUGUACCCGCGGCAAGACGGAAAGACCCCGUGAACCUUUACUAUAGCUUGACACUGAACAUUGAGCCUUGAUGUGUAGGAUAGGUGGGAGGCUUAGAAGUGUGGACGCCAGUCUGCAUGGAGCCGACCUUGAAAUACCACCCUUUAAUGUUUGAUGUUCUAACGUUGACCCGUAAUCCGGGUUGCGGACAGUGUCUGGUGGGUAGUUUGACUGGGGCGGUCUCCUCCUAAAGAGUAACGGAGGAGCACGAAGGUUGGCUAAUCGGUCGGACAUCAGGAGGUUAGUGCAAUGGCAUAAGCCAGCUUGACUGCGAGCGUGACGGCGCGAGCAGGUGCGAAAGCAGGUCAUAGUGAUCCGGUGGUUCUGAAUGGAAGGGCCAUCGCUCAACGGAUAAAAGGUACUCCGGGGAUAACAGGCUGAUACCGCCCAAGAGUUCAUAUCGACGGCGGUGUUUGGCACCUCGAUGUCGGCUCAUCACAUCCCGGGCUGAAGUAGGUCCCAAGGGUAUGGCUGUUCGCCAUUUAAAGUGGUACGCGAGCUGGGUUUAGAACGUCGUGAGACAGUUCGGUCCCCUAUCUGCCGUGGGCGCUGGAGAAUUGAGGGGGCUGCUCCUAGUACGAGAGGACCGGAGUGGACGCAUCACUGGUGUUCGGGUUGUCAUGCCAAUGGCACUGCCCGGUAGCUAAAUGCGGAAGAGAUAAGUGCUGAAAGCAUCUAAGCACGAAACUUGCCCCGAGAUGAGUUCUCCCUGACUCCUUGAGAGUCCUGAAGGAACGUUGAAGACGACGACGUUGAUAGGCCGGGUGUGUAAGCGCAGCGAUGCGUUGAGCUAACCGGUACUAAUGAACCGUGAGGCUUAACCUUACAACGCCGAAG
rnacentral:rRNA from 1 species